rnacentral:rRNA from 1 species
UGGGGAAUUUUGGACAAUGGGCGAAAGCCUGAUCCAGCAAUGCCGCGUGUGUGAAGAAGGCCUUCGGGUUGUAAAGCACUUUUGUCCGGAAAGAAAUGGCUCUGGUUAAUACCUGGGGUCGAUGACGGUACCGGAAGAAUAAGGACCGGCUAACUACGUGCAAGCAGCCGCGGUAAUACGUAGGGUCCAAGCGUUAAUCGGAAUUACUGGGCGUAAAGCGUGCGCAGGCGGUUGUGCAAGACCGAUGUGAAAUCCCCGAGCUUAACUUGGGAAUUGCAUUUGUGACUGCACGGCUAGAGUGUGUCAGAGUGGGGUAGAAGUCCACGUGUAGCAGUGACAUGCGUAGAGAUGUGGAGGAAUACCGAUGGCGAAGUCAGCCCCCUGAGAUAACACUGACUCUCAUGCACGAAAGCGUGGGGAGCAAACAGG